rnacentral:rRNA from 1 species
UACGAAGGGGGCUAGCGUUGCUCGGAAUCACUGGGCGUAAAGGGUGCGUAGGCGGGUCUUUAAGUCAGGGGUGAAAUCCUGGAGCUCAACUCCAGAACUGCCUUUGAUACUGAAGAUCUUGAGUUCGGGAGAGGUGAGUGGAACUGCGAGUGUAGAGGUGAAAUUCGUAGAUAUUCGCAAGAACACCAGUGGCGAAGGCGGCUCACUGGCCCGAUACUGACGCUGAGGCACGAAAGCGUGGGGGAGCAAACGGG